AUUGAACGCUGGCGGCAUGGCUAAAACAUGCAAGUCGAGCGCGAAAGAGGAGCAAUCCUCUAGUAGAGCGGCGAAAGGGUGAGUAAUACGUUCCUAUGUACCCCGAGGUCAGGGAUAGCCCAGGGAAACCUGGAGUAAUACCUGAUGUGGCCUCCGGAUCAAAGGCUUGCCGCCUUGGGAGCAGGGAACGUCCUAUCAGGUAGUUGGUGAGGUAAUGGCUCACCAAGCCAUUGACGGUAGCGGGUGUGAGAGCAUGGCCCGCCACAUCGGGACUGAGACACUGCCCGGACUCCUACGGGAGGCUGCAGUAACGAAUCUUCCGCAAUGCGCGAAAGCGUGACGGAGCAAUGCCGCGUGCAGGAUGAA
rnacentral:rRNA from 1 species